GAAGGCUCUGUAGGGAAGGAACUGGCUCUGGGUGUUUUCCCUGCAUUUCUCUUCUUUCGUUUCUUAAAAGAGCAUAAAUAAUUAAAGUUUGGCAGGGAGGAAAAGCUUUCUUGCAGAACUGUAGUGGCAAUAAAUGAAAUGACUCAGAAUCCCUUCCCCAGUCAGCUUUUACGAGAGCUGCCAGACAGUGUCUGUUCACGUUCUCCAGAUACCAGGGGCGCCCUGACAAAGUUAAGGUCAAGUUAGUGUCUUAUCUUGGGUGACUCAAAAUCACCGCAUCGCGUCCUGGCGCUGUGCGGAAAGCUCUUUCUCGCGGAGCGGCUGGCUGCGCCCCGAAGGCCUGGUGCGCUCCCUGCGUUUCGGGUGGGGCCGCGCAGGCAAGGACAAGGCCACAGAGUCGGGGUCUUCACGUUGCCCCCCAGCGGUCCCGGAAAAAGCGCUGUCCCUAUACCAAGUACCAGAUCCGCGAACUGGAACGCGAGUUUUUCUUUAACGUGUACAUAAACAAAGAGAAAAGACUUCAACUCUCUCGGAUGCUCAACCUCACUGACCGGCAAGUCAAAAUCUGGUUCCAGAAUCGCAGGAUGAAAGAAAAGAAACUGAACAGAGACCGUCUGCAGUAUUUCACUGGAAACCCCUUAUUUUGAGAGCUCCAGGAAGCGCCCUCACCCCAGCCCCACUCACCCACCCUCCUUCCCACCAGCCUGCUCUCCGCAGGCCCACUGUCCUUGGGUUUAAUGACGUCUCUUCUCUGUGGAACUUCACGAUUCCUUCCCACGGUCAACUCGGGACCUCCCAGCGACCACUGCAGCCUGCGGACGAGGCCGGGACUUGGCCGAGCGGAUCCUAAUAAGGGGAAAAUGAGGAAAUCAAGUCUGAUACACCAACCAGCAAUUGGCUCACUGCAAAGAGUGGCAGAAAGAAGAGGUGCCCUUACACUAAGCACCAAACGCUGGAAUUAGAAAAAGAGUUCUUGUUCAAUAUGUACCUCACCCGCGAGCGCCGCCUAGAGAUCAGUAAGAGCGUUAACCUCACCGACAGGCAGGUCAAGAUUUGGUUUCAAAACCGCCGAAUGAAACUCAAGAAGAUGAGCCGAGAGAACCGGAUCCGAGAACUGACCGCCAACCUCACGUUUUCUUAGGUCUGAGGCCGGUCUGAGGCCGGUCAGAGGCCAGGAUUGGAGAGGGGGCACCGCGUUCCAGGGCCCAGUGCUGGAGGACUGGGAAAGCGGAAACAAAACCUUCACCGCUCUUUGUUUGUUGUUUUGUUGUAUUUUGUUUUCCUGCUAGAAUGUGACUUUGGGG
rnacentral:lncRNA from 10 species